GAUUACACAUUCAACAGGGGCAGAGAGGGGAUGGGAAGGGCCAUAGAGAUCAAAGUUAAGAUGGGCUUGUCAGUCUCAGUCCAGUUUGUCCACCCACCAUAUCAGACAUCCAUGAGAACUCACUUUGGUACGGCGCAGUCCUAGGAAUCAAGAAUUUUAAGUUUUCAUCAAAUAACCUGUUAUAAACUCAUUUGCAGCAUUGGUGUAGUGGUGUUGGUUCCAGGAUAUUAGAAAGACAUGGUGGGUGAGGCAAUAUCUUUUAUUGGACCAACUUCUACUGGGGAAAGAGACAACCUUGUGAGCUACACAGAGAUCUUCAGCUCUUAUAAAGUCAAACAGCUGUAGCAUAAAAUCAACAAUCUUCAUUGGGAAGACGAGCAAGUACUAGUUGAAAAUCAGUAAAUGGGUUUGGUUCUUUCCAGAGAAAACCGUCGAAAUUCAGCUCCAAACUACAAUAAAGACAUCUGAUUUUAGUAAGACAGAAAUCACUAUGUACACCAAGACAACAGGAUAACUUGAAAGUUACAAGAAGGGCAGUGGCUCAACCUGUUUUUCUAUGCCUGCCAUCUUCUACAAGCAAGUUGCUCAGUUCUGCCAGACCACAGGGAAGGUGCAGAGGACAAUACAGGCUUCCCAAAGAUUUGCAGAGCAGUUGAAUUGGCCUUCUUCUGAUGUGAAAAAGCCUCCAGGAAGCUCCCAGCACUUGAAACCACCAUGCAGAUGUAGCCUUCAGGAACAUCCCACGCACCCCGGCUGAGCAUCUCCACCAGAUAAGAAAGCACCCAAGAUGCAGCAAAUAAGAUAUGUUCCGGGAGGUCCUGCAGUGCUCCAAUGCAGAAAAAAGGGAUAGAAAGGAGAGCUGGGAAGCAGAACGGCAGGACAGAAAAGAGAAUCAUGCAUUUGUUAAGGAUGCUACUCAGCGGAUGCUUAAAGUAAUGGAGGAGCAAACACAGAUGCUGAAGUCCUUAAUAAUGCUGCAGACUGAGCAGAUCAGUGCUCGACCUCCACUGCAGCACAUUCAGAACUCUUUUCCAGCCCCCCCCCCCAACUCCACCCACACAUUCCUUUCCACUUUCCGGGACUUCUUGGUUUCCCCUUCACUUUACCCCCUCGGACAACUUUCACAAUGAUAGCUGGACCUACACACAGCUAUGAAAGUCUGCCCUUUCCUGGUUCCUCCUUUCCCGCCAAGCAUCUCUGUGUUUGUGUGCUAUUUCUUGUGCAAUAAAAGCAAACUUUUAUAAUGGUAAA